UUUGUACAACUUGGAGGAUUCA
rnacentral:miRNA from 1 species